GAGAGUUAAACAGUACGUGAAAUUGUUGAAAGGGAAACGAUUGAAGCCAGUCGUACCUGCGGACAAUCAGCUUUUUGAGUGUGAUUAUGUGGAUUGUGAGGAGUUUAAUCACCCUCAUGUUUUACGUAUUCGUGCUCUUGGGUGUACUUGCCCGUGUGGUAGGUUAACAUCAAUUUUGGUCGUCAUAAAAUGACUGGAGGAAUGUAGCUUUGGUCUCGUAUCGAAGUGUUAUAGCCUUCGGUAGAUGUGAUGAUCGAGAUUGAGGAUUGCAACGGAUACCCUUUGGGGCUACCUGUCUGAUCUCUGAUCGUUGCUUUGGUGCCGAAAGCUUGCUUACGGUUAUCAAAGUCGAUGGUCAAUAGGUUAGAACGGGUUAAAUUCGUUAAGGAUGUUGACGUAAUGGCUUUAAACGA
rnacentral:rRNA from 1 species